rnacentral:rRNA from 1 species
ACUCCUGCGGGAGGCAGCAGUGGGGAAUUUUGGACAAUGGGCGAAAGCCUGAUCCAGCCAUGCCGCGUGCAGGAUGAAGGCCUUCGGGUUGUAAACUGCUUUUGUACGGAACGAAACGGCCUUUUCUAAUAAAGAGGGCUAAUGACGGUACCGUAAGAAUAAGCACCGGCUAACUACGUGCCAGCAGCCGCGGUAAUACGUAGGGUGCAAGCGUUAAUCGGAAUUACUGGGCGUAAAGCGUGCGCAGGCGGUUAUGUAAGACAGUUGUGAAAUCCCCGGGCUCAACCUGGGAACUGCAUCUGUGACUGCAUAGCUAGAGUACGGUAGAGGGGGAUGGAAUUCCGCGUGUAGCAGUGAAAUGCGUAGAUAUGCGGAGGAACACCGGUGGCGAAGGCAAUCCCCUGGACCUGUACUGACGCUCAUGCACGAAAGCGUGGGGAGCAAACAGGAUUAGAAACCCUUGUAGUCCCAUGAU